rnacentral:rRNA from 1 species
UGGGGAAUCUUGGACAAUGGGCGCAAGCCUGAUCCAGCCAUGCCGCGUGGAUGAUGAAGGCCUUAGGGUUGUAAAAUCCUUUCGUGGGGGACGAUAAUGACGGUACCCCAAGAAGAAGCUCCGGCUAACUUCGUGCCAGCAGCCGCGGUAAUACGAAGGGGGCUAGCGUUGUUCGGAUUUACUGGGCGUAAAGCGCGUGUAGGCGGGUCGUUAAGUUGGGGGUGAAAUCCCGAGGCUCAACCUCGGAACUGCCUUCAAAACUGGCGACCUGGACUCAAGUAGAGGCAAGUGGAAUUGCGAGUGUAGAGGUGAAAUUCGUAGAUAUUCGCAGGGAACACCAGUGGCGAAGGCGACUUGCUGGACUUGUAGUGACGCUGAGACGCGAAAGCGUGGGGAGCAAAC